AGUCUUGUAGUUUAGUGAUUAGAGCGCUCGCCUCGGAAGUGAGAGGGCCUGGGUUCGAUUCCCAGCAGGAUGA